GGGCCGUGUGCCACACCCACUGCACAUUAUUCCCACAACUCAUGAGAUGGGCGUCAUGACUCCCAAUUCACACAUAUGGGAGCCAAAACUUGGGCUCAAGUAGCCCAAAUAGCAACAGUCAAUGGCAUGAUUCCAAUCCAGGGAUCUCUACAGGUCCGUCGGUCACCAAAGCCAAGGACUCCCCAAGUACCCUGCUGCAGUUUAGCAGGUCAUCUGGUAACUGAAACAAUUAGACUUUGGGAAAUGGAGACUGGGGGACAAACUGGACUAAGUCCGACCAGUGCCCAGCAGGAUGACUGGGCUACUUGUCGCAUCUAGGGUACAUUCUGACUGCUCUGUGCCUGUGUCGAUUCAGUGUCCAAGUGCUUUUUAAGAUACCCCUGAGUCACAGAACUAUCCCUUAAACCAGCUGCAGGAUGGAGCAAAUGCAGGACGAACGCCCUCAGGCUGCAGUGUACGCUGUGGCCAGAGGAACUUUGACCCACUGGCACAGAGACUGUGUGACCAGUGGUUCAUACAGGGCCACUCGCUGCCGUGGACUCAGACUGCAAGAUGGUUGGCGGGGGUGCACUGAGUUUACCCUGAGGGAUGGGCAGCCCAUGGCCUGUGUCUCUGCAGUUACUUAGCAUGACCAGCUCACCACCAUCACACACCCAUGGGCUCCCGUCCCACAAGGACUCCAUGGAUGAUGAGACUUGGAUUUGAAUUUGUUGAAAUAAAUGCAUUCUUGCUUUGGUAUUUGCAA
rnacentral:lncRNA from 1 species